CUCCAUUCUGUGCAGUCCUGCCCAUCAGUCCCUCCACUACGGCAAACCCACCCCGGGCUGAGACCUGACAUGCCCGGGGUGUCAAAAGAGGCUGUCAUCCCAUGAGUGCAAGGUGCCCAGGCCUGUGCCACCCUAGAGCAUGGUCUCUGGAUCUUGGGAGAAAGCUGAGCAUCACAGAACUGAAGAAGGUGGGCCACGCUCGGAACAGCCAAGUUCCCUGGGGUGGAAUCGCCAAGACUGAAGGACACAUCAGAAAGCAGCGCUCCUGUGAACCAUUGUGGUAGAAGAUCAGUGGUGGUGUGAGCACAGCGCUGGGUACCAGAGCUCACUUCGCUCUUUGAGAAGACACAUGCACUCAUUCCUUACCAAUCCAUUCCUUCACAUGCAAUUAUUUUGGGUGUCCUGUGGGCCAGGUCCUAUUCUAGCAGAUCAUCUUUUUCUCAGCAACAUAAAUUCUACAACAGGAAGAACU
rnacentral:lncRNA from 1 species